AAUUUUCCGCAAUGGGCGAAAGCCUGACGGAGCAAUACCGCGUGAGGGAGGAAGGCUUUUGGGUUGUAAACCUCUUUUAUUAAGGAAGAAGAAAGUGACGGUACUUAAAGAAUCAGCAUCGGCUAACUCCGUGCCAGCAGCCGCGGUAAUACGGAGGAUGCAAGCGUUAUCCGGAAUCAUUGGGCGUAAAGCGUCCGCAGGUGGUCAUUCAAGUCUGCUGUUAAAGACAGAAGCUCAACUUCUGAUAGGCAGUGGGAACUGGAUGACUAGAGUAUGGUAGGGGUUGAGGGAAUUCCCAGUGUAGCGGUGAAAUGCGUAGAUAUUGGGAAGAACACCAGUGGCGAAGGCGCUCAACUGGGCCAUAACUGACACUCAGGGACGAAAGCUAGGGUAGCGAAAGGGAUUAGAUACCCCUGUAGUCUUAGCUGUA
rnacentral:rRNA from 1 species